GCUCACUUCAGCAUAUACUGAAAUUGGAAGGAUACAGAGAAGAUUAGCACAACACACAAAUUUCUGAAGCAUUCCAUAUUUUU
ensembl:snRNA U6 U6 spliceosomal RNA